rnacentral:tRNA from 1 species
AGUUUAAUAAUUUAAUAAAAAUAUUAAUUUGCAAAAUUAAAAAUAUCAUUAGAUUUAAACUU